GAUGAAGAACGUAGCGAAAUGCGAUAAGUAAUGCGAAUUGCAGAAUUCCAGUGAGUCAUCGAAUCUUUGAACGCACAUUGCGCCCUUUGGUAUUCCGAAGGGCAUGCCUGUUCGAGCGUCAUUAUCACCCCUCAAGCCCUCGGCUUGGUGUUGGACGGUUUGGUGGAGGCCCCCUCGGGGGCUCCUGCCCCUCCCAAAGCCAAUGACGGCGGCCUCGUUGGACCCCCGGUACACUGAGUUCUUCACGGGACACGUAUCGGACACAUGGGUUUACGGGACACGGUCUGCCUCCCCUCAGGGAGAAUCUUUCUAAGGUUGACCUCGGAUCAGGUAGGGAUACCCGCUGAACUUAAGCAUAUCAAUAAGCGGAGGA
rnacentral:misc_RNA from 1 species